CCUACGGGUGGCAGCAGUGGGGAAUAUUGCGCAAUGGGCGAAAGCCUGACGCAGCGACGCAGCGUGAGGGAUGAAGGUCUUCGGAUCGUAAACCUCUGUCAACAGGGAAGAACAGUCACUGUGCUAAUCAGCAGUGAAUUGACGGUACCUUCAAGGGACGCACCGUCUAACUCCGUGCCAGCAGCCGCUGUAAUACGGAGGGUGCGAGCGUUAAUCGGAAUUACUGGGCGUAAAGCGCUCGUAGGCGGUAUGUCAAGUCAGGGGUGAAAUCCCCGCGCUCAACGUGGGAACUGCGUUUGAAACUGGCAAACUGGAGUGUGCGAGAGGCUAGUGGAAUUCCAGGUGUAGGAGUGAAAUCCGUAGAUAUCUGGAAGAACAUCAGUGGCGAAGGCGACUAUCUGGCACAUAACUGACGCUGAGGAGCGAAAGCGUGGGUAGCAAACAGGAUUAGAUACCCUGGUAGUC
rnacentral:rRNA from 1 species